AAAGCGAUUCAGCGGGUUACGAUUGACGGAGCGAAGCGACGUCAAAGCGUAUACAAAGUCGAGUCGGUUUAAGGAUACGUUCGUUGGGUAGGGGAGCGUUCUGUAAGCCUGCGAAGGUGGCCUGUGAGGGUUGCUGGAGGUAUCAGAAGUGCGAAUGCUGACAUAAGUAACGAUAAAGCGGGUGAAAAGCCCGCUCGCCGGAAGACCAAGGGUUCCUGUCCAACGUUAAUCGGGGCAGGGUGAGUCGACCCCUAAGGCGAGGCCGAAAGGCGUAGUCGAUGGGAAACGGGUUAAUAUUCCCGUACUUGGUGUUACUGCGAAGGGGGGACGGAGAAGGCUAUGUUGGCCGGGCGACGGUUGUCCCGGUUUAAGCGUGUAGGUGUGUGUUCCAGGUAAAUCCGGUU
rnacentral:rRNA from 1 species